GAUGAACGCUGGCGGCGUGCCUAAUACAUGCAAGUCGAGCGAACGGACGAGAAGCUUGCUUCUCUGAUGUUAGCGGCGGACGGGUGAGUAACACGUGGAUAACCUACCUAUAAGACUGGGAUAACUUCGGGAAACCGGAGCUAAUACCGGAUAAUAUUUUGAACCGCAUGGUUCAAAAGUGAAAGACGGUCUUGUUGUCACUUAUAGAUGGAUCCGCGCUGCAUUAGCUAGUUGGUAAGGUAACGGCUUACCAAGGCAACGAUGCAUAGCCGACCUGAGAGGGUGAUCGGCCACACUGGAACUGAGACACGGUCCAGACUCCUACGGGAGGCAGCAGUAGGGAAUCUUCCGCAAUGGGCGAAAGCCUGACGGAGCAACGCCGCGUGAGUGAUGAAGGUCUUCGGAUCGUAAAACUCUGUUAUUAGGGAAGAACAUAUGUGUAAGUAACUGUGCACAUCUUGACGGUACCUAAUCAGAAAGCCACGGCUAACUACGUGCCAGCAGCCGCGGUAAUACGUAGGUGGCAAGCGUUAUCCGGAAUUAUUGGGCGUAAAGCGCGCGUAGGCGGUUUUUUAAGUCUGAUGUGAAAGCCCACGGCUCAACCGUGGAGGGUCAUUGGAAACUGGAAAACUUGAGUGCAGAAGAGGAAAGUGGAAUUCCAUGUGUAGCGGUGAAAUGCGCAGAGAUAUGGAGGAACACCAGUGGCGAAGGCGACUUUCUGGUCUGUAACUGACGCUGAUGUGCGAAAGCGUGGGGAUCAAACAGGAUUAGAUACCCUGGUAGUCCACGCCGUAAACGAUGAGUGCUAAGUGUUAGGGGGUUUCCGCCCCUUAGUGCUGCAGCUAACGCAUUAAGCACUCCGCCUGGGGAGUACGACCGCAAGGUUGAAACUCAAAGGAAUUGACGGGGACCCGCACAAGCGGUGGAGCAUGUGGUUUAAUUCGAAGCAACGCGAAGAACCUUACCAAAUCUUGACAUCCUUUGACAACUCUAGAGAUAGAGCCUUCCCCUUCGGGGGACAAAGUGACAGGUGGUGCAUGGUUGUCGUCAGCUCGUGUCGUGAGAUGUUGGGUUAAGUCCCGCAACGAGCGCAACCCUUAAGCUUAGUUGCCAUCAUUAAGUUGGGCACUCUAAGUUGACUGCCGGUGACAAACCGGAGGAAGGUGGGGAUGACGUCAAAUCAUCAUGCCCCUUAUGAUUUGGGCUACACACGUGCUACAAUGGACAAUACAAAGGGCAGCGAAACCGCGAGGUCAAGCAAAUCCCAUAAAGUUGUUCUCAGUUCGGAUUGUAGUCUGCAACUCGACUACAUGAAGCUGGAAUCGCUAGUAAUCGUAGAUCAGCAUGCUACGGUGAAUACGUUCCCGGGUCU
rnacentral:rRNA from 1 species